UACGAAGGGUGCAAACGUUGCUCGGAAUCAUUGGGCGUAAAGCGCACGUAGGCGGCUCCGCAAGUCGGAUGUGAAAUCCCUCGGCUCAACCGAGGACGUGCAUCCGAAACUGCAGAGCUUGAGUAUGGAAGAGGGUCGCGGAAUCCCCGGUGUAGAGGUGAAAUUCGUAGAUAUCGGGGGGAACACCAGUGGCGAAGGCGGCGACCUGGGCCAAUACUGACGCUCAGGGACGAAAGCUAGGGGAGCGAACGGG
rnacentral:rRNA from 1 species